ensembl:snoRNA
GCUGGAAUGGUGAUGAGUUCACUUUUUGCCGUUUACCCGUCAGAUGUUAAAGUGGUGAAAUUGUGAAAACUGAAUGACCAGC